UACGUAGGGUGCGAGCGUUAAUCGGAAUUACUGGGCGUAAAGCGUGCGCAGGCGGCUUUGCAAGACAAAUGUGAAAUCCCCGGACUCAACCUGGGAACUGCAUUUGUGACUGCAAGGCUAGAGUACGGCAGAGGGGGAUGGAAUUCCGCGUGUAGCAGUGAAAUGCGUAGAUAUGCGGAGGAACACCAAUGGCGAAGGCAAUCCCCUGGGCCUGUACUGACGCUCAUGCACGAAAGCGUGGGGAGCAAACAGG
rnacentral:rRNA from 1 species